AUGCCACAUUACGUAAAAAUUUACGAUACAUGUAUAGGAUGCACUCAGUGUGUACGAGCUUGUCCAAAAGAUGUAUUAGAAAUGAUACCCUGGGAUGGAUGUAAAGCCAAGCAAAUUGCUUCCGCGCCGAGAACCGAAGAUUGUGUGGGUUGUACGAGAUGUGAAUCUGCCUGACCGACAGAUUUUUUAAGUGUCCCCGUUUAUUUAGGGCCUGAAACAACACAUAGCAUGGCUCUAUCUUAUUCAUACGUUACAAAAAACUUCACUCGAAUCGUCUGA
rnacentral:rRNA from 1 species